CUACAAAAAAGUCAGCAUGAUCAAAAUUGUUAAAGGACCCCUUAAGGAGUUAUUGCCCUUUAUAGUCAAUAUUGAACAACUUUUCGUCAUUUUUGUAACUUGUACAAAAAUCUUCUUUUCAAAACUAUGGGCCAAAUUUAACCAAACUUGGCCACAAUCAUUACUAGGGUAUCUAUUUAAAAAAAGUGUCAAAUGACCCCGCCUACCAACCAAGAUGGCCGACAUCAGUAAAUACAGUAACAGGUGAGCGAC
rnacentral:lncRNA from 1 species